AAUAUAAAAGCGUUUAGAUCACUAAAAUAGUGACCUAACGCUCUUAUAUUAGUUUACAGAAGGAGUACUAGAGAUUAAUUAUAAACAUCAAUGGAAGGCUUGACUCAACUAGUAGUAGUAGUAGUACUAGUGAACCAACAAAUUUACCACGCUACAGGAAGCAAAAGCAGUUUAUCAAAUGAAACAUCUACUGCUUGGUGCUUGUGCACAAAUAACUGGAAGAGAAAAACCCAACCAAACACAACAUUUUAGAGAAUUUUCUUCACCAUUGAUUGCAUCCAUCACAAAAAUGUUACCACACGCACAAACAACCUGGGCCAACACAACAUUUUGCAAUUAGGCAAGAGCAAACCUACCACACUUGAUCAUCUACAGUCCAGAGGAUGGCUUGCCCUUUCAAGCAAAACUAAACCACAAGACAUGACACAUGACUCCCAGAUUAACCCAACCAGUAGUGUGGUCCGUGGGAACACUUCUUCAGCUCAUUACAGUACGUUCAUAUCCCUACGUGGUUCACAAAGUCCACCGCUGCUUCAGUAACAGUGAACGUCACCUUCCCAGACAAGAAAACCAGAAAUGCGCACGCCACAUUAGCGACAGUGUUGCGAAAGACCACCGUGGCAAAGUCCUUAUCUGACAUAUCCGUCUGCAGCUCCUGGACCUCCUUCUGCGUGCCCGCCACGGCAGUCUUCAAGCACCCCACUUGGGCACUGGUGGAGGUCUUCAGCUCCUGCAGCUCCUUCUUCGUGUCCGCCACCACUGUCUUCAAGGACUCCACCCCAGCCCUGGUGGAGGUGGCCUCAUCCACCACCAUCUGCUUGAGCGCUUCAAUCUCAAAACGGAUUUCGGCGGUUCGCUCUAUUCCCUGGAGCGUGAUUUCGAUAGCAGCUCCGCUGACCACCUUCUUUACCUCCACAAUAGAGACCUGCAAAUUCAGCAACAACCAUAAAAAACGAUCAUCUUCACAUAAUGAGUCUACUACAGCAAGGUCCAAUCAACUACCUCUUCCUAAAUACAAGUCUUUUUAGAGAUUUCAAAUGGACUACAACAUACGGAUGUAUAUAGACAUAUUUUAGAGUGUAGAUUCGCUCAUUUUGCUCAAAAGCCAUAUGAUCAACGAACAUACAAAACACGAG
rnacentral:lncRNA from 1 species